UACGUAGGGGGCUAGCGUUGUCCGGAAUCAUUGGGCGUAAAGCGCGCGUAGGCGGCCCGGUAAGUCCGCUGUAAAAGUCAAAGGCUCAACCUUUGAAUGUCAGUGGAUACUGCCGGGCUAGAGUCCGGAAGAGGCGAGUGGAACUCCUGGUGUAGCGGUGGAAUGCGCAGAUAUCAGGAGGAACACCAAUGGCGAAGGCAGCUCGCUGGGACGUGACUGACGCUGAGACGCGAAAGCGUGGGGAGCAAACAGG
rnacentral:rRNA from 1 species